rnacentral:rRNA from 1 species
UACGUAGGGUGCAAGCGUUUAAUCGGAAUUACUGGGCGUAAAGCGUGCGCAGGCGGUUUUGUAAGUUUGUCGUGAAAUCCCCCGGGCUCAACCUGGGAAUGGCGAUGAAGACUGCAAGGCUAGAGUUUGGCAGAGGGGGGGUAGAAUUCCACGUGUAGCAGUGAAAUGCGUAGAUAUGUGGAGGAACACCGAUGGCGAAGGCAGCCCCCUGGUCGCAAACUGACGACUCAUGCACGAAAGCGUGGGGAGCAAACAGGAUUAGAACCGU